GCCACAGCCACUGAGCAGAGAGAGAUGAUCACCCACCUGGAGCAGGACCUGAGCAUCAUUCAGUCCAUCCAGUGGCCCGAUGCUGAGGGUGCCGCUGAGCACCGCCUGGAGAAGAUCCCAGAGCCCAUCAAAGAGGCCACUGCCCUAUUCUAUGGACCUGCAGCACCAGCCAGCGGCGCCCUCCCAGAGGGCCAGGUGGAUUCACUGCUUUCCAUCAUCUCCAGCCAGAGGGAGCGCUUCUGUGCCCGGAACCAGGAGCUUGAGGCCGUG
rnacentral:lncRNA from 1 species